rnacentral:rRNA from 1 species
GACGAACGCUGGCGGCGUGCUUAACACAUGCAAGUCGAACGGAAAGGCCCUGCUUUUGUGGGGUGCUCGAGUGGCGAACGGGUGAGUAACACGUGAGUAACCUGCCCUUGACUUUGGGAUAACUUCAGGAAACUGGGGCUAAUACCGGAUAGGAGCUCCUGCUGCAUGGUGGGGGUUGGAAAGUUUCGGCGGUUGGGGAUGGACUCGCGGCUUAUCAGCUUGUUGGUGGGGUAGUGGCUUACCAAGGCUUUGACGGGUAGCCGGCCUGAGAGGGUGACCGGCCACAUUGGGACUGAGAUACGGCCCAGACUCCUACGGGAGGCAGCAGUGGGGAAUAUUGCACAAUGGGCGGAAGCCUGAUGCAGCAACGCCGCGUGCGGGAUGACGGCCUUCGGGUUGUAAACCGCUUUCGCCUGUGACGAAGCGUGAGUGACGGUAAUGGGUAAAGAAGCACCGGCUAACUACGUGCCAGCAGCCGCGGUGAUACGUAGGGUGCGAGCGUUGUCCGGAUUUAUUGGGCGUAAAGGGCUCGUAGGCGGUCGAUCGCGUCGGAAGUGUAAUCUUGGGGCUUAACCCUGAGCGUGCUUUCGAUACGGGUUGACUUGAGGAAGGUAGGGGAGAAUGGAAUUCCUGGUGGAGCGGUGGAAUGCGCAGAUAUCAGGAGGAACACCAGUGGCGAAGGCGGUUCUCUGGGCCUUUCCUGACGCUGAGGAGCGAAAGCGUGGGGAGCGAACAGGCUUAGAUACCCUGGUAGUCCACGCUGUAAACGGUGGGUACUAGGUGUGGGGUCCAUUCCACGGGUUCCGUGCCGUAGCUAACGCUUUAAGUACCCCGCCUGGGGAGUACGGCCGCAAGGCUAAAACUCAAAGGAAUUGACGGGGCCCCGCACAAGCGGCGGAGCAUGCGGAUUAAUUCGAUGCAACGCGUAGAACCUUACCUGGGUUUGACAUGGAUCGGGAGUGCUCAGAGAUGGGUGUGCCUCUUUUGGGGUCGGUUCACAGGUGGUGCAUGCCUGUCGUCAGCUCGUGUCGUGAGAUGUUGGGUUAAGUCCCGCAACGAGCGCAACCCUUGUUCACUGUUGCCAGCACGUUAUGGUGGGGACUCAGUGGAGACCGCCGGGGUCAACUCGGAGGAAGGUGGGGAUGACGUCGAGUCCUCAUGCCCCUUAUGUCCAGGGCUUCACGCAUGCUACAAUGGCUGGUACAGAGAGUGGCGAGCCUGUGAGGGUGAGCGAAUCUCGGAAAGCCGGUCUCAGUUCGGAUUGGGGUCUGCAACUCGACCUCAUGAAGUCGGAGUCGCUAGUAAUCGCAGAUCAGCAACGCUGCGGUGAAUACGUUCCCGGG